UGGGGAAUUUUGCGCAAUGGGGGAAACCCUGACGCAGCGACGCCGCGUGGAGGAUGACGGCCUUCGGGUUGUAAACUCCUGUCAGAAGGGACGAAAUCCCGCAAGGGACUGACGGUACCUUCAGAGGAAGCCCCGGCUAACUACGUGCCAGCAGCCGCGGUAAUACGUAGGGGGCAAGCGUUGCUCGGAAUUACUGGGCGUAAAGGGUGAGUAGGCGGUCGGGCAAGUCAAGGAUGAAAUCCCGAGGCUCGACUUCGGAAUUGUUCU
rnacentral:rRNA from 1 species